AGAGUUUGAUCCUGGCUCAGGAUGAACGCUAGCGGCAGGCUUAACACAUGCAAGUCGAGGGGCAGCAUGUCCAGCAAUGGAUGAUGGCGACCGGCGGAAGGGUGCGUAACGCGUGAGCAACAUGCCCUAUACAGGGAGAUACACCAGGGAAACUUGGUCUAAUAUCCCAUAGCAUUCAUUGAAGGCAUCUUUAAUGAAUUAAAGCUUCGGUGGUAUAGGAUUGGCUCGCGUGACAUUAGCCAGAUGGUGAGGUAACGGCUCACCAUAGCAAUGAUGUCUAGGGGUUUUGAGAGGAAGGCCCCCCACACUGGGACUGAGACACGGCCCAGACUCCUACGGGAGGCAGCAGUGAGGAAUAUUGGACAAUGGAUGGAAAUCUGAUCCAGCCAUGCCGCGUGCAGGAAGACGGCCUUAUGGGUUGUAAACUGCUUUUAUACGGGAGCAAUAAGGGUUACGAGUAAUCCGAUGAGAGUACUGUAUGAAUAAGGAUCGGCUAACUCCGUGCCAGCAGCCGCGGUAAUACGGAGGAUCCGAGCGUUAUCCGGAAUUAUUGGGUUUAAAGGGUGCGUAGGCGGCCAUUUAAGUCAGCGGUGAAAUUUUGCAGCUUAACUGUAACAGUGCCGUUGAUACUGUUUGGCUAGGAUUUGGUUGUAGUGUGCGGAAUGUGUGGUGUAGCGGUGAAAUGCUUAGAUAUCACACAGAACGCCGAUUGCGAAGGCAGCAUACUAAGUUUAUACUGACGCUGAUGCACGAAAGCGUGGGGAUCAAACAGGAUUAGAUACCCUGGUAGUCCACGCCGUAAACUAUGAUUACUCGUUGUUUGCGAUAUACUGUAAGCGACUGCGCGAAAGCAUUAAGUAAUCCACCUGGGGAGUACGUUGGCAACAAUGAAACUCAAAGGAAUUGACGGGGGCCCGCACAAGCGGAGGAACAUGUGGUUUAAUUCGAUGAUACGCGAGGAACCUUACCUGGGCUUAAAUGGGAAGUGACAGUUUUGGAAACAAAAUUUUCUUCGGACACUUUUCAAGGUGCUGCAUGGUUGUCGUCAGCUCGUGCCGUGAGGUGUCGGGUUAAGUCCCAUAACGAGCGCAACCCUCGUCGAUAGUUGCCAGCAUGUAAUGAUGGGGACUCUAUCGAGACUGCCGGUGUAAACCGUGAGGAAGGUGGGGAUGACGUCAAAUCAGCACGGCCCUUACGUCCAGGGCUACACACGUGUUACAAUGGUCGGUACAGUGGGCAGCUACUCAGCGAUGAGAUGCUAAUCUUUAAAACCGAUCUCAGUUCGGAUCGGAGUCUGCAACUCGACUCCGUGAAGCUGGAUUCGCUAGUAAUCGCAUAUCAGCCAUGAUGCGGUGAAUACGUUCCCGGGCCUUGUACACACCGCCCGUCA
rnacentral:rRNA from 1 species